AACGAACGCUGGCGGCAGGCCUAACACAUGCAAGUCGAACGGGCGUAGCAAUACGUUAGUGGCGCACGGGAGAGUAACGCGUGGGAAUCUACCUUUUGGUUCGGGAUAACGUCGGGAAACUGACGCUAAUACCGGAUAAGCCCUACGGGGGAAAGUUUUUUCGCCAAUAGAUGAGCCCGCGUUAGAUUAGCUAGUUGGUGAGGUAAUGGCUCACCAAGGCUACGAUCUAUAGCUGGUCUGAGAGGAUGACCAGCCUCACUGGGACUGAGACACGGCCCAGACUCCUACGGGAGGCAGCAGUGGGGAAUAUUGGACAAUGGGGGAAACCCUGAUCCAGCCAUGCCGCGUGAAUGAUGAAGGCCUUCGGGUUGCAAAGUUCUUUUGGUGGGGACGAUAAUGACGGUACCCACAGAAUAAGCUCCGGCUAACUUCGUGCCAGCCGCCGCGGUAA
rnacentral:rRNA from 1 species